rnacentral:siRNA from 1 species
GCGAUACUUGGUGUGAAUUGC